GAUGAAGAACGUAGCGAAAUGCGAUAAGUAGUGUGAAUUGCAGAAUUCCGUGAAUCAUCGAAUCUUUGAACGCAUAUUGCGCCCUUUGGUAUUCCGAAGGGCAUGCCUGUUCGAGCGUCAUUAUCACCCCUCAAGCCCCGGCUUGGUGUUGGACUUAGUUACGGAUCACCAUAACUGGCCUCAAAGAUAGUGGCGGCGCCCCAGAGGGAACCGGUACGAGGAGCUUCUAGUUAAGCAUGUACGCGGGACGACUUUGCGGGCGACGGUCUUUUUCAUUUCUCAAGUGUUGACCUCGGAUCAGGUAGGAAUACCCGCUGAACUUAAGCAUAUCAAUAAGCGGAGGA
rnacentral:misc_RNA from 1 species